AGACAGGAUAGCAGGCUUACUACGGGUCCCGGCGACCUUAAGUCGAUCUGGAUCCUAGUGUCGGUGGCAGUUCGGUUUCUGGGCUGUUACAAUACCUUAGUCUUUGAGAUCCUUCUUCUUUUAUACUAUAAGAAGAUGGAGAUAAAUAUAUUAUUUCUUGAUAAUCUGGCUAUGAUGUGGUCGACUCGUUGGAAAGAGAUCUUCACCAGCUAAUGGAUCAAGAAUCCCCUGAUUGCAAGCAUAAAAAUGGGUCUGCUGAAUUGUAAUUAUUAAUGGUAACUUCCUUAUGGAGACUCGCCUUUGAAUUUGACCAACCUUUAUCUUAGGCCGACUUGUCCUGAAGAAAGGUCCUUCGUCUCUUAGUUUCGAGCAUAAUGGUCGUCCGAGUCUUCCUUUUUAUGAGUGGGACUGUGUAUCAACCUAUCAAGCCCUUGCCACGUGGCUCUAUCUCAUGAUGACAGCUCACGAAUUACUUUAAAAAAUUCUUAUAUAGCAUCAGAGGUCCCCCCGCUGGUCUUUGAUUCUUUAGAUUCGAAGAUGACAGUUGUCUUCAUGAUCUAGGUUAUGUGGCUUGUUUGUCCGUGCUAAGCGCUAGAUGUCCUUGCUUUCUUCUGCAAACCAGUCAGGUCCAAGAUGUUGUCUGGCAAAGAUUAAGUGAUACAGUAUUGUCUUGAUGAGUUUUUGAGCUUUCUCUAGCACCAACCAGCCCUGGGGAUCAUUUGGGCAUUUUUCAGCCCUAUCGAGCUUCUAGCAGCAACCAGCCAUGCAUUUUCCAUUCUUGACAAGUUUCUAGGCAUUUUAUAGCCGUGACGUGCUUCCGAGCACUCUACAACCCUAAUGAGCUUCUAGGCAUUUUCUUGUGUUGUCUAGCCUUGACGAGCUCUUAGUGCUUUCUUGCACUAACUAGCCCUGAUAGGCUAUCAUGAGUCUUCUGGGUACUCACUUGCGCUGACCGGCCCUGUCUAUCUUCUAGGCAUUUUCCAUACUAGGCCAGCUUUAAUGAGCUUUUGGACAUUUUUCAGACCUGACAAGCUUUUGGACAUUUUGAAUUUCUAGGCAUUUUUCUGGCCCUUACAAACUUUCGGGCUUUCUCUAGCCCUUGCGAGUUUUCUGGCAUCAAAAUGCCUUUGCAAGCUUUCAGGCAAUUUUCUAGCCCUUGCGAGCUUCUAGUCAUUUUAUUGCCCUAACUAGCCCUGGUGAGUGUUUUCCAAUCCUGACAGCUUUCAGUCUUCUUGCAGACUUCACUCCUUCGCUUAAUAGCCUGCCCCGACUUUGCCAAUCAUCAAAAAUCAUUUCACCCGUCUACGGGGCUUUCUUUCUUCAUAAAAUUUUUUGAAUUUCCAGGAGUGAUUAUAAAAUCAGUGACAAAUGCUUUUGGAGAUUUUUUUUGUGAAGUGGGACCUUUUAUCGGUUUAUCAGACCCUUGCCUUGUGGCUCAAGGGUCCUCUUGCUAUUUUUCAAUUCUUCAUAUUCGAAGUGUACAACUGACUUUAACGGCUUUGGGUCUAACACUCAGUCAUGUGUUUGGCGAUUAUCUGUCUUGUGGCACUUCUUUGGCAAAAACUAGCCUCUGUCUUUUGAAGGUAACAUUUGAAGACCUGUCUUCUUUAGACUUCUUGUGAGAUAGGGCUCACACUCGGUUGGUCGGCAUCAAAUGCCUUAGACUCUUCUUGUGAAGCGAGAUUAAUACCUAAUUGGUUGGCCUGACGUACGCCCGCCUUGUGGCAUGGCAUCGAAGGCCUUGAUUAGUGGGAUAAAUGCUCGGUCUUCUAACCUGGCUUAUUCUCGCCUUAUGGCCUGGCAUGAAUACCUUGAUUGGUGGGACCAGCGCUCGGAUUAUGGUCGGAGCCUGACCAAAUGCCUUGACAAGCUUUUGGCACCAAAUGCCUUGACAAGCUUUUGGCACCAAAUGCCUUUCUGAGUUUUCGAACAUUUUUCUAGCCCUUACGAGCUCCCUGGCCUUAUACUGCUCUAACGGGCUUCCUGGCCUUUUACAGCCCUAACGAGCUUUUAGCACCAAAUGCCUUUGUGAGCUUUCGGAUAUUUUUCUAGCCCUUACCAACUCCCUAGCCUUAUACUGCCUUAAUGAGCUUCCUGGCCUUUUACAGCCCUAACGAGCAUUUGGCACCAAAUGCCUUUGCGAUCUUCUGGGUAUUUUUUUAGCCCUUACGAACCCCUUGCCUUUUUCUAGCCUUCACGAUCUUCCUAGCAUUUUUCUAGCCCUAAUCUUAGCCUUGACGCUCCUCUAAGCUUUAUGGUAUCAAAUGCCUUGACGAGCUUCUGCCCAUUUUUCUAACCCUUGCGAGCUCCAUGGCCUUACACAGCCCUGACGGGCUUCCUAGCCUUUUAUAGCCCUGACGAGCUUUUGGCACCAAAUGCCUUUGCGAGCUUCUAUGCAUUUUUCUAGCCCUUAUGAGCCCCUUGAUUUUUUUCUUAACGAGCGAUAUGGCAUUAAAUGCCUUAGAAUUUUUUUGUAAAGCGGGACUAACACUUAGUAGAUUAGCCUGGCUUAUACCUGCCUUUAGGCCUGAUAUUUAAUGCCUUAGAAAUUUCUCUUGAUGUGGGACUAACACCCGAUAGAUCGGUAUGGCGUAUACCCACCUUGCGUGUAACAUUCCAAAACCUACAGAUAGAAAUAGAGCAACCAUUAGCUUUAAAUUGUACCAUUUUAAAGUUAGAGUAAUUAGCUGUAGGGGAGGUGCUAGCUUGACCUCGAGCUGAUUAGGGGAGGUGCUAGCUUAUCCAUAGCCGUCUGACACACAAUUCGUUUAAAGAUAGAGCACUAAAAGUUGUGUUUAGAGGUCUAACUUGCAUUUCAUAUAGAGUUAUACGUCCAAAGGUAGAGUUAAAAUAAGAACGACCAGUACUAGUAUUUUAACAUCUUCAAACUGUAAUAACUGAAUCAUAGAAAACCCAAAUAAGAAAACAAACAUAUCUUAAAAUAAAGUAUCUAACGUGAUAAGCAGGUCGGAAUCAAGUUGCUAUUGGGAGGUGCUGAAGGGUUUCCCGACGUGCUAGCUUGAGGUGCUUCCUAAAACCGACAUGCUUGCUUAACUGAAAUGAACUUCUAAAUAUUAAAAAUGUAAGUUUAGUAGGUCAAUCUAUGAAUAUUGAAAGUUUAAAAACUAAAUUGAAACAUGUGGAAAAGUUUAGUAGGUGAAAGUGUGAAUAUGGAAAGUUUAAAAGUAAAAUUCCAAGUUUGCCCUCCACCUUUUUCUAUAUUUACACCUAACCCACCAUUUGACACCUAGCCAUGCAUGACUAAGCAUGAAAUGGAAAGUUGUCUUCAUUUGGUCCAUCCUUGCCGUGGCUACACCAAAAGGAAAGAGAAAAAGGCUUUUGCUUUCUUAACUUUCUUCUCCACCAUAUGUCUCCAAAAAGACAAAGCUUUCACCCAUGCACAAUCUGUUCUUAGGUGUUCUAACCAGCAAAGGAACCAUAGAAAGAAAGGAAAGAAGAAGAGAAGUUAAGGUGCUUAAGUGAACAAACUCAAAGGGAGGAAGGUACAUCAAAGGGGAAAGGCAAGGAAAAAGAGUAACUAAGGUGUACCUAAAGAUUUUGAAAAGAAUUGACAAAAGGUAAUAAAUAGAGGAAGCAACAGUUAGGAGGUCUGGUUCUGCAUCAGCACAGAGACAUCAUCAUAACCAGUUGUUCACAAGAUUUGUUCAGAGAGAGGAUGUCUGAGGCAUCACAACGUGCUAUAGAUGAGGAGGUGGGAAGUCAUGCCCCCUCAGAACCCAUUGAGCCAGCAAUUGCACCAGCCCCUCAUGGUGAAGAUAGGCCAGGACAGGAUGCAUUUUUACAACAGCUGGCAGAUAUGUUGAGACGAGUUUCAGGGGCAGCACCUCAGGUGCCACCACCAGUUGCAGUACCUAUGCAGGCUCCUGCUAGACCACCAAUAGACAAGCUUAGAAAAUAUGGAGCUAUGGAAUUCAAAGGCAGAAGAGAAGAUGAUGCUCCAGCAGCAGAGUACUGGCUGCAAAGUACAGAGAGAGUGUUGCAGCAGCUUCAGUGCACACCACCAGACAGUGUGGCUUGUGCAGUUGCUUUGUUACAAGAAGAGGCCUAUCAGUGGUGGGACACCACAUCACAGACAGUGCAACCUGAGCAGCGGACUUGGGAAUUCUUUCUGGCUGAGUUUCGAAAGAAGUAUAUAGGAGAUUUGUAUAUGGAUGAGAAGAGAAGAGAGUUCCUAUAUUUGAGACAGGGCAGGAUGACUGUUAGCGAGUAUGAAAAAGAUUUCAUCAGACUGAGUAAGUAUGCCCGGGAAAUGGUGCCUACAGAGGAAGCUAAAUGUAAGAAAUUUGAGCAGGGUUUGCAUAAUGACAUUAGGGUGCUUUUGGCAGCCCAUUCCAUCAAAGAGUUCUCUACUCUGGUAAAUGCAGCGUUGAAUAUAGAGAAGAUAAAAGAAGAAGAACAAAGCUGGCGACAGAAAGGACAACAGAAGAGAGGGCAAACCCAGAUGCAGGGGCAAUCCUCAGCCUCUCAAGCACUUAUGAAGAGACAAAGAGGAGCUCAGUCAUCAGGGCAGAGUCAAGUACAAAGACAAAGGCAGCCACUAGCGCAGAGUUUUGCAGGGAGGUUUGGGCAGCAAACUAGUACAUCUGUAGCCAGUUCAGGAAGUGCAGGCAGGGGACAAUACCCUAUAUGUGCGCACUGUGGUAGAUAGGUGCGGUGCCUGGUAUAACAUCUAUGGCAAAUUCCACCUCUCUCUCUAGUGGUAACCCAGGAAGAUCAUCAGGAAAAACAUCAGAGAAAUCACACACUGUGGAUAUGUCAUGUACACCUGGAUUCUCCUUUUUGGUUUCAAGUGCACAAACAAGGUAAUAAAUAGAGGAAGCAACAGUUAGGAGGUCUGGUUCUGCAUCAGCACAGAGACAUCAUCAUAACCAGUUGUUCACAAGAUUUGUUCAGAGGUUGUUUAUGUUUGGCAUGUACAUUAAUAGUCUACCAAGAGUCUGUAAGAGUUAAAAAUACAAUUACAAGAAUUGAUUGACAAGGGUUUCAUACGACCUAGUAUCUCACCUUGGGGCGCACCUGUAUUGUUUGUAAAAAAGAAGGAUGGGACACUAAGAU